UACGAAGGGUGCAAACGUUGCUCGGAAUUAUUGGGCGUAAAGAGCUCGUAGGCGGUUUGUCGCGUCUGCCGUGAAAGUCCGGGGCUCAACUCCGGAUCUGCGGUGGGUACGGGCAGACUAGAGUGAUGUAGGGGAGACUGGAAUUCCUGGUGUAGCGGUGAAAUGCGCGGAUAUCAGGAGGAACACCGAUGGCGAAGGCAGGUCUCUGGGCAUUAACUGACGCUGAGGAGCGAAAGCAUGGGGAGCGAACAGG
rnacentral:rRNA from 1 species